AAUGAACGUUGGCGGCGUGGAUUAGGCAUGCAAGUCGAGCGCUCAUAGCAAUAUGGGAGCGGCGGACGGGUGAGUAACGCGUGGGAACGUACCCUUUGCUACGGAAUAGCCCCGGGAAACUGGGAGUAAUACCGUAUGUGCCCUCUGGGGGAAAGAUUUAUCGGCAAAGGAUCGGCCCGCGUUGGAUUAGGUAGUUGGUGGGGUAACGGCCUACCAAGCCGACGAUCCAUAGCUGGUUUGAGAGGAUGAUCAGCCACACUGGGACUGAGACACGGCCCAGACUCCUACGGGAGGCAGCAGGUGGGGAAUCUUAGACAAUGGGGGCAACCCUGAUCUAGCCAUGCCGCGUGAGUGAUGAAGGCCCUAGGGUUGUAAAGCUCUUUCAGCUGGGAAGAUAAUGACGGUACCAGCAGAAGAAGCCCCGGCUAACUCCGUG
rnacentral:rRNA from 1 species